rnacentral:misc_RNA from 1 species
AUAAGGUGGAGUUAGUGAGUGUUAAGUUGGAAGGGUGGGAUUUAAAUUUUGGGUGAGUGGUGGAGAGGUA